rnacentral:ncRNA from 2 species
ACCUUUGCACCGUUUUCGGGUAUAAAGGAAUUCGGUAAUUUGCCGUAAGUAAAGAAGCCGAAGCUGUACCCGCAGCCGUAUGUUCCCUAUGGUUAGACUAUUCCGAAUAUGUAGGAUAUAGUUUCACCGACAAGGUUCUCCGACGCAGAAAACGCGAAAGUCACUGUCUCUAUAAAUCGGGAUGGGAAGGCAACGGAUAACCGGGAACGAGCCGGAAGACCUGCCCGAAAGCAUCAGCCAUG